GACAGAGGGUGCAAACGUUGUUCGGAAUUACUGGGCGUAAAGCGAGUGUAGGCGGUUUGAUAAGUCGGAUGUGAAAUCCCCAGGCUCAACUUGGGAACUGCAUCCGAUACUGGAUGGCUUGAAUUCGGGAGAGGGAUGCAGAAUUCCAGGUGUAGCGGUGAAAUGCGUAGAUAUCUGGAGGAAUACCGGUGGCGAAGGCGGCAUCCUGGACCGACAUUGACGCUGAGGAGCGAAAGCUAGGGGAGCAAACGGG
rnacentral:rRNA from 1 species